CUGUCUCAGCCUUUCAUGGAGAAGGCGCUCGGCAAGUGCACG
rnacentral:ribozyme from 1 species